GAUUUCUGGCGAACCGUUGCGGCCCGUGCCCGUUUCGGGCGUGUGUGCCGUGUCGUGUUUGUCAUCCUUCCAGAAAGCUGCGUCUACCAUUCACUUGGCCGGACGUACGCGAUCUGGAUCGAUUACUUUGAAAAAAUUAGAGUGUUUAAAGCAGGCUUACGCUAUGAAUACAUUAGCAUGGAAUAAUAAUAUAGGACUUUGAUUCUAUUUUGUUGGUUUCUAGGAUUGAAGUAAUGAUUGAUAGGGAUAGUUGGGGGUGCUAGUAUUCCGCGGCCAGAGGUGAAAUUCUUGGAUUCGCGGAAGACUAACUACUGCGAAAGCAUU
rnacentral:rRNA from 1 species